UCUCUCUCUCUCUCUCUCUCUCUCUCACACACACACACACACACACAAAUGCACACACCCCUUUCAGAAACUCUCCUCUCUCGUGUCUAUUUUUCGUAAAGAAUAGAUGGAUCUAGGAUUUUCUUAUAUAUUUUUUUAUUUUUUAGAAAUUGAACGAAUGUUGAUGGUUCAUCUCGGAAUUCAAAUUUGGUCAUUUGUCGUUCUGUUGAUCUGGAAAUGGUUUUCUCAUUUGGGCAUGAAUUAUUCAGUCAGAAAUAUGGGGUUAAUGUUGAUUUGGUUGUUAGAAAAACUUGAAUGCCAUUCGAUGAUAGAUUUGGAGCAUUUAUACUUAGUUAUUAGAGUUAUAGGGAUACUGAUUCGGCUUGGCAUAUUCUUUUUUUUUUUUUUUUUUUUUUUUACCCCUUAAAAUUUUCCCCCUUCAAUCUUAGUUUUUAGUUUUGGGGAACUUUCGUUGCUUGACCGAUUCAUUGUUGAACUUUUAGCAUCAGUUUUGCAGAAUGGGUUCCUUUUGUGGAUACUGCAGGCUUUGUUGGAUGAUAUAUUGUGGCUUUUAAGCUCAGAAAUGAGUUGUCCUUCCGCCAAUAGCAGGCCUUCCCAAGGAUUAUAGGCUUAAACAUCUAGAAGUUACCGUCCUUGAUCCUCCAGAUGCCACACAACAUGUACACAAUCGCCAGUCCAUGCUCCAAGAUGUAGCAGAUCUUAACUUGUCUGACUGCUAUGGUUAAGUGGCACAAGUACUGGCGAUCGAUUAAGCGGGCGAUACCGAUGAGCACAAAACGGUUGGCAGACAUACCGAGGAUACUACUAUUAUGUCGACGGUUCAACGGCCGACCGGACCAUGAACCACUGAUUACAAAGAGCACUAUUUUACCGACGGCCUAUGAAGUGGCCAACCGGAUUGAGUACUAGCGCCGUUCCAAGUGCAAACUACUUGACAGUCGACCGAUUCUAUUAGAAAUUUACCAGUAAACCCAUUUAAUGGGGUGCUUGAAGGGGUGUUUUCUCUUCUGUGAAAUAGAGGAAGACAGAGCCUUAAACACACCCUUCUCUCUCUACCAAGUAACAUAUUGCUCGGCAAAAACCCUUGUAUAGCUUCUUCUAUUUCUCGAUAAAAAGAAUUAUGACCAA